rnacentral:rRNA from 1 species
AGAGUUUGAUCAUGGCUCAGAUUGAACGCUGGCGGCAUGCCUUACACAUGCAAGUCGAACGGCAGCACGGGUGCUUGCACCUGGUGGCGAGUGGCGAACGGGUGAGUAAUAUAUCGGAACGUACCCUAGAGUGGGGGAUAACGUAGCGAAAGUUACGCUAAUACCGCAUACGAUCUACGGAUGAAAGUGGGGGAUCGCAAGACCUCAUGCUCAUGGAGCGGCCGAUAUCUGAUUAGCUAGUUGGUGGGGUAAAAGCCUACCAAGGCGACGAUCAGUAGCUGGUCUGAGAGGACGACCAGCCACACUGGAACUGAGACACGGUCCAGACUCCUACGGGAGGCAGCAGCGGGGAAUUUUGGACAAUGGGGGCAACCCUGAUCCAGCAAUGCCGCGUGAGUGAAGAAGGCCUUCGGGUUGUAAAGCUCUUUUGUCAGGGAAGAAACGGGAUUUUCUAAUACAAAGUCCUAAUGACGGUACCUGAAGAAUAAGCACCGGCUAACUACGUGCCAGCAGCCGCGGUAAUACGUAGGGUGCAAGCGUUAAUCGGAAUUACUGGGCGUAAAGCGUGCGCAGGCGGUUGUGCAAGACAGAUGUGAAAUCCCCGGGCUCAACCUGGGAAUUGCAUUUGUGACUGCACGGCUAGAGUGUGUCAGAGGGGGGUAGAAUUCCACGUGUAGCAGUGAAAUGCGUAGAGAUGUGGAGGAAUACCGAUGGCGAAGGCAGCCCCCUGGGAUAACACUGACGCUCAUGCACGAAAGCGUGGGGAGCAAACAGGAUUAGAUACCCUGGUAGUCCACGCCCUAAACGAUGUCUACUAGUUGUCGGGUCUUAAUUGACUUGGUAACGCAGCUAACGCGUGAAGUAGACCGCCUGGGGAGUACGGUCGCAAGAUUAAAACUCAAAGGAAUUGACGGGGACCCGCACAAGCGGUGGAUGAUGUGGAUUAAUUCGAUGCAACGCGAAAAACCUUACCUACCCUUGACAUGUACGGAACUUACCAGAGAUGGUUUGGUGCUCGAAAGAGAACCGUAACACAGGUGCUGCAUGGCUGUCGUCAGCUCGUGUCGUGAGAUGUUGGGUUAAGUCCCGCAACGAGCGCAACCCUUGUCAUUAGUUGCUACGAAAGGGCACUCUAAUGAGACUGCCGGUGACAAACCGGAGGAAGGUGGGGAUGACGUCAAGUCCUCAUGGCCCUUAUGGGUAGGGCUUCACACGUCAUACAAUGGUACAUACAGAGGGCCGCCAACCCGCGAGGGGGAGCUAAUCCCAGAAAGUGUAUCGUAGUCCGGAUUGUAGUCUGCAACUCGACUACAUGAAGUUGGAAUCGCUAGUAAUCGCGGAUCAGCAUGUCGCGGUGAAUACGUUCCUGGGUCUUGUACACACCGCCCGUCACACCAUGGGAGCGGGUUUCACCAGAAGUAGGUAGCCUAACCGCAAGGAGGGCGCUUACCACGGUGGGAUUCGUGACUGGGGUGAAGUCGUAACAAGGUA